AUGGCAGAAUGCUUCAAUAAGGUGCUCAAGGGUGUGCGUGCAUUACCCGUGACGGCAAUAGUUCAAUACAUAUUUGACAAGAUGAAUGAAUACUUUUUGAAGCACUCAAUGGAGACUGAUAAGCAGAUUGUUGGUGAGAACAAGGAUAAGCACAAGUACAAUUUCCCACCAAAGGUUGAAGAAUGGUUGGAAUUUCAAUCACGAAAGGCAGACUCCGAAGAAGCUGUUCUAUAUGACGACAACGAGUGGAAGUAUGAGGUGAAAGAGCCCGGAGGAACCACAAAUGAUGACCGCCAGCACGGAGGCCGGGCUUUCAAGGUCUCCCUAACACGGUGUGAUUGCAGCUGCAUGAGGCCGUCUUUGCUUCAUCUCCCAUGCUCGCACUUGUUAAAUGCAUCCCGGGUUAGGAAUGUGGACGUCAAUCACCCUCUAACCGUGAGGGAGUCCGAGUUCUCAAUCAUGACGGUAAAGAAGACAUGGACUCCACGGUUCCAGCCAUACUUGGACCAAUCAUAAUGGCCGGAGUAUCAUGGAGUUCAACUAUGGCCGGACCCG
rnacentral:rRNA from 1 species